CGCUUUUUCCCUACACCAGAAUAGACGCCCACAAUCACAAGAUAGAGAUUCCCUCAUUUUCACCCUUCCUCCCUUAAAAUUCCCUCAUUUGCACCUCGAAUCAACGCACUCACACAGCAAGAUAGAGAUUUUUCUGCGACAAUGUAUUCCAUGGGGGCGGCGUUGCACGUGCAGCAGAAGCGACAGAAGGAGAGGUUAGUAAAGAAAAUGGAGCAAUUGAAGAAUUUGAGCGUGGAAAAACAUGUGGUGGAGGCAUCGGCUGCUACGAUUUGCAGCGCCAAAGCCAAAAUCCACCCUGCGCCUCUCUUCAUUUGAAGUGGAAUUGAGUUUGUGCUGAAACCGUCCACGAUUUGUAUAGAGUUUUAGUAUCUUUUUUGAUGGGACGACAAACCAUGUGAGACACUGAACUGGACUAGGGAAGUUAAAAUAGGUCUUGCAAAAUGGGACGACAAACCAACUCCAUAGGGUCUCAACUCUCAAAUAUGAUUAGCAUAUGAAAGUGUAAAAAUCCGGGACUUUCCUUGAACGAUCUCUGAGUUUCCAACACUGGAACAAAUGCUUCCCUGGUUUUCUUCAACACGUCACUAAUUCCUUCCUCAGCUGCAUGCGGGCUAACUAAAGCCUUCUCGACAUCUUCAAACUUGGCCGUAGCCAAAGGUGCAGUACCAACAACAGUCUUGCCAGAGUUAGGCCCUUCUAUGGUCAAUGUAGCAGCAUCGUCCCUCGAAGCAUACCAAGUGUUACCGCAAGAAACACAUUCCAACUGAGGACACAAAAUGAACAAAUGUGGAAACAAUUAUUCCUCUUCUUCGCUUUUACAUGUGUCAUAGUAAUAUUUUCAGGGUUAAUUGAAAGGAAUGUUAUUCAUUCCACAGGUUCUUGGGACAUUGGUUUUGUUAAAACAACAAUUGCUGGAUCACAAGCUAUUACCAAGAUUUCAUGUUACCAUUAGACAAAACCAAUAUCAGCCUAUAAAAUUUAACAUGUGCGGAAUUGUGAACUAUGAAUCACAUCUCAGUCAUCUACUUUUCUAAA